CAUUUCUUGAGUAGUUUUUAAUGAAGGAUCUAAAAUUAAGCUAGGGAAGAAAGAAGAUGAAGAAGCUGAUGAAAUAUAGCAGUACCUAUGGCAGUUAUUGCUUCUUUUAGGAAAAUGAAAAAGCUUGUCCAAGACAUUUCAUUGGUUGAGGCUGCACUUAGGACCUCGUCUCAGCUUGUUGUAAGUUCCGAUGGAAAGAAAGUGAAGUGAUUGCAUGCAUUACCAGACAUUGACAUCGAAGAUGCAAAGGUCAGGCAGAUUUGCUAGGCUUCAACGGAUUCAAUGCUCAUCGGGCCCAUGAGCAGCCUUAUUCAUCGCGCCC